rnacentral:rRNA from 1 species
UACGUAGGGGGCUAGCGUUGUCCGGAAUCAUUGGGCGUAAAGAGCGUGUAGGCGGCCCGGUAAGUCCGCUGUGAAAGUCCAGGGCUCAACCCUGGGAUGCCGGUGGAUACUGUCGGGCUCGAGUCCGGAAGAGGCGAGUGGAAUUCCUGGUGUAGCGGUGAAAUGCGCAGAUAUCAGGAGGAACACCGAUGGCGAAGGCAGGUCUCUGGGCCGAUACUGACGCUGAGGAGCGAAAGCGUGGGGAGCGAACAGG